UGUCACUACUUUUGAUCAAUGGCAAAAUAAUCGAUGGACAAACUUCAGCUCUCUCAGAUCCUACAACUUCUAUCUCUGAUCCAUGCUAUGAUUAUAGCAUUAUUGAUGAUUACUGGAGAGACAUACACCUACGUUCAUAUCAAGACUAUGGACAGGAUGACACUCUUGUAGAAUGGAGUGGCUGGUAUCGGCUGUAUCUGAAUGGAGAAAGUGCUCAGAUGUCUGAGUGGUGUGUGAGUCAUAUGGGAUGUGGUGGUGAAACUGGACUGUAUCUCAAUGGUU